rfam:Triticum aestivum genome assembly, contig: Triticum_aestivum_CS42_TGACv1_scaffold_094530_2AL
UUAGUACUCCCUCCGUCUCAAAAUUCUCGUCUUAAAUUUGUCUAAAUACAAAUGUAUCAAGUCACAUUUUAGCAUUAGAUACAUCCGUAUCUAGACUAAUCCAAGACAAAAAUUUUGAGACGGGGGGAGUACAAA